rnacentral:rRNA from 1 species
AGAGUUUGAUCCUGGCUCAGGACGAACGCUGGCGGCGUGCCUAAUACAUGCAAGUCGAGCGGACAGACGGGAGUUUGCUCCCUGAAGUCAGCGGCGGACGGGUGAGUAACACGUGGGCAACCUGCCUGUAAGACUGGGAUAACUCCGGGAAACCGGGGCUAAUACCGGAUAAUUCUUUCCCUCACAUGAGGGAAAGCUGAAAGAUGGUUUCGGCUAUCACUUACAGAUGGGCCCGCGGCGCAUUAGCUAGUUGGUGAGGUAACGGCUCACCAAGGCAACGAUGCGUAGCCGACCUGAGAGGGUGAUCGGCCACACUGGAACUGAGACACGGCCCAGACUCCUACGGGAGGCAGCAGAAGGG